rnacentral:rRNA from 1 species
AUGUGGAGUGCAGGAUGCGUGGAGCAGUGGACGCCGACGGCGGCGAUGGUGGCGACGAACGUCGUGAUCGCCGUCAUGACCGCGCUGCUCAAGCAGGCGCUGAGCCAGGGGAUGAACCGGCUGGUCCUCAUCACUUUCAGGCAGAUGCUGGCCACUGUAUUCCUCGGCCCCAUUGCCUACUUCAAGGAAAGGAAGACAAGACCAAAGAUCACUGCUGAAAUCUUUGCGUACCUGUUCCUUAGUGGAAUCCUCGGCCCGGUGCUGCUUCAGUACACGCUCUUCGUCGGGCUGGAGUACACGACCGCAACGUUUGCUGCGACCUUCGGCAAUCUGCUCCCGGUGGUUACCUUCCUGAUAUCACUCGCUUUCGGGUAUGAGACGCUGGAGGUUCGGAGCAAGUCCGGGAGCGCCAAGAUCUGCGGCACGCUGCUGUCCCUCACGGGGGCCAUGACGCUCACCUUCUACAAGGGCGCGUCCCUUACCCACCACCUCCACCACCACCUGCCUCCGGCGGCAGCGGCGGCGGCGGCGGCGGCCGGCGUCGAGGAGCAGCACCGGAGCGCGGCGCGGUGGGUGCUGGGGUCGGCGUCGAUGCUGGCGAACGUGGUGGGGUUCGCGGGGUGGCUGCUGCUGCAGCGGCGGCUCACGCGGCUGUACCCGGCCGUGUACUCGGCCACGGCGCUCAUGUCGCUGCUCAGCUUCGCGCAGGCGGCGGCGCUGGCGCUAUCCACCCAGUGGGGCGCCGGCGCCGCCGCCUGGCGGCUCCGCGGCACCGUCGAGAUCGCCGCCGCCGUCUACUGCGGGGUGGUGGCGUCCGGGGUCGGGUACCUGCUGCUGACCUACUGCGUGGAGAAGCGGGGGCCGGUGUUCACCGCCGCCUUCAGCCCGCUGGCGCAGAUGUUCGUCGCCGGCAUCGACCUCUGCGUCCUCCACGAGCCCCUCUACCUCGGCAGCGUGCUGGGGUCUGUGCUGGUGAUCCUGGGCCUCUACCUCGUGCUGUGGGGCAAGAGGGAGGAAGCCGCCGUCGCCGCAGCCGCCACCGCCGCUCCGGCGAAGACGGUCGAAGCAGCAGCAGCUGGCCACGGAGACGUGGCAGAGCAGCAGGAGAGAGUGUGA